rnacentral:rRNA from 1 species
GAUGAACGCUGGCGGCGUGCCUAAUACAUGCAAGUCGAACGGUGAACAUCGUAGCAAUACUUUGUUCUUAGUGGCGAACGGGUGAGUAACGCGUUGGUGACCUGCCCCGAAGAGGGGGAUAACAGUCCGAAAGGACUGCUAAUACCCCAUGUGGUCUCAGGGAUUAGAUGCCCUGAGUCUAAAGGAGUAAUCCACUUUGGGAGGGACCUGCGUCCCAUCAGCUAGUUGGUAAGGUAACGGCCUACCAAGGCUUCGACGGUAGGGGACCGUGAGAGGGUGGCCCCCCGACCAAUGGAACUGAAACAACGGUCCAUACACCUACGGGAGGCAG